AUGCUUACCUGGCAGGGGAGAUACCAUGAUCAAAAAAAUAGUUUUCCCAGGACAAGACUCGCCCUUUGCACUCCGAGUGUGCUGACCUCUGCAGUUUCCUUAAAUGUGGGAAACUCAACUGCAUAAUUUGUGGUAGUGGGAGGCUGCGUUUGUAUUCUCCCU